UGCUCCAUCGAAUGGUUUCAUUUUGCUUGUGUUGGCCUCACCACAAAGCCCAGAGGAAAAUGGUACUGUCCACGAUGCUCUCAAGAAAGGAGAAAGAAAUGAAAACCUCUGUUACUUGGGCUUCUGCAAAACAAACCUCAAAUUUUCAUUAUGUUACAGUUUAACGUUUCAGUGUCUUGUGUUCAUUUUCAGUUAAAUGAUGAGGUCAUACAUUUGUUUCUUGAGUUUGUGUUAAAAUGAAACACUAACCUAUUUCUGUUUUGAGAAAUUAAUUUCUUGCAGGAAUUUUGGAACGAAGACCCGCCCUUAAAAGCGGAACCCGUUGUUUCUAGCUUUUUUGGAUGUUUUGGGAGAUAUUUGAACUUUUUUUUUGUAUAUUCACUAGAGACGUGUAGCUAGCUUUGCCAUAGCUGCUAAAACUUUAAUACACAAGGGGAAAAUGUUAAAAUAGCUGUGUUACUUGGACACAGUCUGUUUCCUUUGUGUUUUCUGAUGGUGCUAUAAAAUUAAAAAAAAAAAAAAGUUCCCCC